GCCCGCUUAGCUCAGUGGCAGAGCGUUGGCCUUCGGUGCACGGAGAACCAACGGUCGUAGGUUCGACCCCUGCAGCGGGCU